UUGCUCGGUAGUUCAGCGGUAGAAUAAUUGACUGUUAAUCAAGAGGUCGCUGGUUCGAUCCCAGCCCGAGCAGUCC
rnacentral:tRNA from 1 species